rnacentral:rRNA from 1 species
UACGGAGGGUGCAAGCGUUAUCCGGAUUCACUGGGUUUAAAGGGAGCGCAGGCGGAUUUGUAAGUCAGUGGUGAAAGGCUUAAGCUUAACUUGGGAACUGCCAUUGAUACUAUAAGUCUUGAAUGUUGUUGAGGUUUGCGGAAUGGGUCAUGUAGCGGUGAAAUGCAUAGAUAUGACCCGGAACACCGGUGGCGAAGGCGGCCUUCUGGACAGUGACUGACGCUGAGACGCGAAAGCGUGGGGAGCAAACAGG